AAUGAACGUUGGCGGCGUGGAUUAGGCAUGCAAGUCGAGCGAGAACCCAGCAAUGGGGGACAGCGGCGAAAGGGACAGUAAUGUGUAGAUUAUCUGCCCUCGGGUCCGGGAUAGCUGCGGGAAACUGCAGGUAAUACCGGAUAACAUCUCCGGAUCAAAGGUGUGAUUCCGCCCGAGGAUGAGUCUGCAUCCUAUUAGCUUGUUGGUGGGGUAAUGGCCUACCAAGGCUUUGAUGGGUAGCGGGUGUGAGAGCACGACCCGCGUCAUUGGGACUGAGACACUGCCCAGACACCUACGGGUGGCUGCAGUCGAGAAUCUUCGGCAAUGGGCGCAAGCCUGACCGAGCGACGCCGCGUGUGGGAUGAAGGCCUUCGGUUGUAACCAACUAGUCGAGAGGGAGUGAAAUGCAGUGGGUUCGUCCACUUCGUUUGACAUAGCCUCAGAGGAGGACGGGCGUAAGUCGUGCCAGCAGCCGCGGUAAU
rnacentral:rRNA from 1 species